rnacentral:rRNA from 1 species
UACGUAGGGUGCGAGCGUUAAUCGGAAUUACUGGGCGUAAAGCGUGCGCAGGCGGUUCGUUAAGUCAGAUGUGAAAGCCCCCGGGCUCAACCUGGGAACUGCAUUUGAAACUGGCGGGCUUGAGUAUGGCAGAGGGGGGGUGGAAUUCCGAGUGCAGAGGUGAAAUUCGUAGAUAUUCGGAAGAACACCAGUGGCGAAGGCGACUCGCUGGACAGGUAUUGACGCUGAGGUGCGAAAGCGUGGGGAGCAAACAGG